CCUACGGGAGGCAGCAGUGAGGAAUAUUGGUCAAUGGACGAGAGUCUGAACCAGCCAAGUAGCGUGAAGGAUGACUGCCCUAUGGGUUGUAAACUUCUUUUAUAUGGGAAUAAAAUGUUCCACGUGUGGGCUUUUGUAUGUACCAUAUGAAUAAGGAUCGGCUAACUCCGUGCCAGCAGCCGCGGUAAUACGGAGGGUCCGAGCGUUAUCCGGAUUUAUUGGGUUUAAAGGGAGCGUAGGUGGAUUGUUAAGUCAGUUGUGAAAGUUUGCGGCUCAACCGUAAAAUUGCAGUUGAAACUGGCAGUCUUGAGUACAGUAGAGGUGGGCGGAAUGCGUGGUGUAGCGGUGAAAUGCUUAGAUAUCACGAAGAACUCCGAUUGCGAAGGCAGCUCACUGGACUGCAACUGACACUGAGGCUCGAAAGUGUGGGUAUCAAACAGGAUUAGAUACCCCAGUAGUC
rnacentral:rRNA from 1 species